rnacentral:tRNA from 1 species
GCCGGAGUAGCUCAGUUGGUUAGAGCAUCAGAAUCAUAAUCUGGGUGUCGGGGGUUCAACUCCCUCCUCCGGUACAA